CAAAUUAAAUCUUAGUUUAAAGAGUUUUAUUUACAAUAAAAAGAUUAUUGUUUAAUUCAAUAUAAUUUGA
rnacentral:tRNA from 1 species